AACGCACCUUGCGCCCCUUGGUAUUCCGAGGAGCAUGCCUGUUUGAGUGUCAUGAAAAUUCUCAACUGCUUCAAUUUUUUGAAGUGAAGUUGGAUUUGGAGGAUUAUUGCUGGCGUAAUGACUUUGGUUGUUGCUUGUUAGCUCCUCUUAAAUAAAUGAACUUUCUAGUAGAUCAUGGCAAAGUAACACUAAUGUGAUAAUUAUCUACAUUAGAUGUGAAAGUCCUUGAGCAGAAGGGAAAUCCUUCCUAUAGGAAAGGUUGAUGGUGUUGAUAAAUUUGACCUCAAAUCAGGUAGGACUACCCGCUGAACUUAA
rnacentral:misc_RNA from 1 species